CCAGUGCGGAGGUUCCACUUACUGUACCCUCAGCAGAACUAAAUCCUCAAGAGCAAUUUGAAAAAAAUUUGGAGAGGCUUUCUGAUAUUUUGGCGUCAUAUCCUUCUGCUGAGCUUUAAAGAAGCACUGCAUCAUCAUGGUCUUUUCGGCAGCAGAAAGCCUCAGAUCGCUGGAAAGAAGCAAGACCAUACCACCUAAAAUGCCUUAUUGCAAAAGAGGCUGUUGGUCAUCCCUUGUGUCGGCUUUGCCACGAGCCUGCUGUUAAUAGGUGCAGAGAGUGUCUUCCUGAGGAGUGGUUCUGUGGAGACUGUGAUGAACUGUGUCACAAAAAACAGCCACUCCACAACAGGGAAUGUGUGAUUCAUGGGUUUUUUGAAGCCAUUCCUC